CGCGUAGGCGGCUUGGCAAGUGGAAGGUGAAAUCCCUCGGCUUAACCGAGGAACUGCCCUCCAAACUGCUUUGCUUGAGGCCGGGAGAGGUGAGUGGAAUUCCCAGUGUAGCGGUGAAAUGCGUAGAUAUUGGGAGGAACACCAGUGGCGAAGGCGGCUCACUGGACCGGUUCUGACGCUGAUGCGCGAAAGCGUGGGGAGCAAACA
rnacentral:rRNA from 1 species